AGCUGGAGGUGGACAGAAGACUCCUUUGCAAAUGGGACAGGGGCUGUCCCCCGUGAUACAGCAUACCAUGUUCCCAUGCCGAUCACGGACACAGGGGAAUCAAUUGCCGGUGACAGCUCUGGAGCCUGAGCCUGUCUGGAGUAGAGGCAGCAGGGUGAGCAGCAGCUGUCCACAUUUCUCCUCCCUGCUCUGCCAACAUGAUUCAGCCCUAACGGGGAGGGACCAUCUAGAAUGGUAGAAGAGCUCUGAUUAUAUCCUGCCUGACCCUUACUCACCCUGCAGGCAAGCUUGUAGUAGCAGCAGUGUGAAG